GCCCGGAUGGUGUAAUUGGCAGCCACGUUGGACUUAAAAUCCAAUGACUUAAAAUGUCGUGCCGGUUCGAGUCCGGCUCCGGGCA
rnacentral:tRNA from 1 species